UACAGAGGUCCCAAGUGUUGUUCGGAUUCACUGGGCGUAAAGGGUGCGUAGGCGGUCUGGUAAGUCUGACGUGAAAUCUCCGGGCCUAACCCGGAAACUGCGUCGGAUACUAUCCGGCUAGAGGAUUGGAAGGGAGACUGGAAUACUUGGUGUAGCAGUGAAAUGCGUAGAUAUCAAGUGGAACACCAGUGGCGAAGGCGAGUCUCUGGACAAUUCCUGACGCUGAUGCACGAAAGCUAGGGGAGCAAACAGG
rnacentral:rRNA from 1 species